UCUUAAGAAUUAUCCUCCAACAAACGAAAUUCAAAUUCGACUUAAAUACAUCGACAUAUAACCAAAACAAAACUUACUAAAAGGAAACAACGCAUAAACAAGGGCCUAUACCAAGGAAUUUGCCCAAAAUUGGCUCCACAUCAACAGCUUUUGUUGCUGAUAUUUGUUCAUUGACACGUUUCCAAUUAAAUUUGACUAAAAAUUCACAAAACACGAACAAUCUCAAAAUUUCUCUAAAAAUCGAGAAAUUGGAGCUGUUAAUUUAAAUAAAGAAGAAAAAAGAAAAAAAAUUGAGCUGCACCACCGAGAGGUAUAGUGCCUCUCCGCACAGCGCGGAGAGUGCAUUCUUCGUCCAGCACGAACAAGGUCGGGUUUCAAGCGCUGAUCAAUAAAUUCCUCUAAUCUUCCUACUUUGUCGUGUCUUUCCUUAUUCAUAUUAUCCCUAUUACAUGACGAAAAUGGAUUAGAAACUAAACCAAGUGCUGAUUAAAGAUUAGCAUUUAUGACAAAUAUGUAGAAAGUUAAUUCUUAAUUUAUAGCUAUCAAAAUGCAACCUAGACAAUAUUUCAAACACUCAAGCAGUCACAUAAAUUUAAUAUGAUCAAAUACAUAAACUUAAAAAUACAUAAGACGUAAAUUCUAUAUAGCAUAUUCAAACAUGUUAACAUAAUGAAAUUGAAAUAUAUUGUCUCCCCAGGCUCAUGAUUACCAUCUAGAGAUCACAAUUCAAUAUAUAGCAGUUUAGUUCAAAUCAAGCAAUGACUCGGAUCGCAAUAAAAUAUAAAGACUGCAAUCCAAUUAUAGAACACUUCAGCAACACCCAGAUCACUAAACCACUCACGUUUGAUCUCUAAAUGAUAAUACUGAGUUUGGAGAGACAAUAUAUUUCUAAGUAGAUGAUGAAUAAUCCCAAUAGAUGUUCACCUUCUCGUCUCCAUCUAUUAUUCUACAACUAAUGUCAACAAUUGAAAGAUCUAGCAAAUAUUACUUUCACAGAGCGCAAAAAAAAAAAAAAAAAAAAAAGGCUUCUACUCGAUUCUUUGAAGCAAUUGAAAGCUUAAACAAGCGUAAAGACCACAUAAAAAUAAAAAUAAAGUAAUCACGUAACUCAUAUAAGAGUAACUGAUCAGCCCAUCCAAAACAUUAGCGUGUAUAGGCAUUCUUUUGCAAUUCGAAUUCACACGAGAUUUCAAUUUUUUGGAUUUUUGGAAAGAAGAAGAAGAAGAAGAGUAGUU
rnacentral:lncRNA from 1 species